AUAAGCAGGCCUAUUUGGUAGGCUUGCCCCCGGUAUAAAGUCAAUUUGAUGUUCUAUCCCCCUAAGAGGAGGAAGCCCAAUGGGUCCUUCUUGGGAGAAUAGAUCUUCAAAUUCACUCAAAAGGUUUUCUACUUGAGGAGGUAAAACCAUGAGUUCACUACUUGUGGCAGUGCAUGUAAGUGCUCCUUUACAAAAGAUAAGGCUUGGUUGUUCAACAAGAAGCAAGUUUUCAAAAACAUUUUCAAGAGGUUUUUCUUGUUGACCAACCUUGUGGGAAGGAACACUCUUCUCCCACGCCUUUCUAUCCCUAAGGAUUUUCUCUUUU
rnacentral:lncRNA from 1 species